CAACAGUAAACCACAGCAGAUACAGAUCCAGCGAACAUAAAUCUUCCAACAGUAACAACAAGGCCCCACAAUCACCAUUCAGCAGCAGAGCGCGGUGACAAUAGAUCAACAGCAAACACAAUAUGUAGGAGCUCAAAAGCUACUUUCUCUUUCGACAAACAUGUUAUGGAAGUUCACGACAUGUUAAAACGGGCUAAACGUAAGCCAGGAAAAGGUCCUUCAGACAGAUAACAUUCAGGCGGCGUUGGUGUUGGUGGCAUUUCGAAGGUACCGAGAGCUAGAUCCGACCCUAUCAGCAACACGAAACGAACCCCGGCAAGACUGGUGGGGCGCAAGGUGCCAGUGAACACACGACACCCCCUACAUAAUUCAAUAGUUCUGGGGAAAGUUUUCAUUGGGACGUAUAUGACAUUAUCUUUGUUUACUUUCGCUUCUGUUUAUUACUCGGUUGCUUCAACAUUUACCUCUUAACUCUUUCCUUAAUAUUCUAGUAAAAACUAUCGGUUUUCGAAAUGUACUGAAAAUUAACGGAAAGUAAAUUAAUGAAAAAUUAAAUUAUGUAGUUAAAAUUAGAGGAAAGUUUAUGUUACUUAAGCCCUAUUGAAAAUUUUCUCCAGAGUUAUUUAAUAGUUAGCUGCACCGCGCUAAAAUGUCUAUCGAAUUCCAUAAGAACCACUUAUGAAUUUGCGCCAGAAGUAUCCCAUACAGAAAUCAUAAGCGUGUUUAAUGAUUUAGAGGGGAAGUUGACCAUCGAGCCGCUUACGAAUUUCAUAAGUCAUAUUUAAAGAUUUCUGAGGAUGUUCUUAAGAUUUUUGUGUGAAUAUACUUAUAUUAUGCAUCAUGGUGAAAUGUGAAUUUAAGAUAGGAAUUGUCAUAAGGUCUAAUAAUUGUGAAUAAGAAUAUUUUUUGUCUUUUUUCUUGUCAUAGUUUUAAUAUCAUUAAACAUUAGUUUGCAUACAUGUUCAAAUUAGUCUCCAAUUGGAAAAAAAGAUCACCUGCUUGGAAACAUUUCUAGAUUCACAAGCACUAUAACUCUUCUAAGUAUACAUCGUCAGAUUUAGUCAUGUCACAAGAUUGUACAGGUGCUGCAAAAUAUAUAUAAAGAAUAUGAGGCAAUAGUCCAUAAACUUUAAAUAAACACUUACAUUUACUCUCCCUCAUUUGAAACAGAGCUAGUGUCCAAUUGCAACACACCUAUAGCUUACAACUAAUGCCAUUAAUUUUGUUCCGAUUUUUGACUUUUCACAGUACUAUUCUUUAUAAUAAUCUUAAGACUCGUCUAUUAGUUACCUACGAAAUUGAUAUAUUCGCUUAUGAAAAAUGCAUAAGCGUCUAAUGAAAUCAAAAUUAUGCAUUUCACGAAGUAAAACCAUUUCUGUCAAGGACAUAUAUACAGUACAUGGAUAAAUAAACAAUUGAAACGGACAGGAAAAUAGUUUGAGUGUAAUUUAAGCAACGGUCAAGGCAUUGCGUUGGAAUAGUAUUUGGCUUUCCUACAAAUAUUGACAAACUGUAACAUGUAACAUGCAAUAUGUAAUAUAAUAAUAACUAACUAUUUGCUAUUUGA